UAUGGUGCUUUGGGGGGCCAACCGGACUUCCCCGGGGAAGGCUGACCCCUUCUCGUGCCCGCCAAAGGCCUCAAUAAACCCUGCGAUCAGUGUCGUCCGAGUAAAAACAAUCGUUAAAACUUUCAACAACGGAUCUCUUGGUUCCGGCGUCGAUGAAGAACGCAGCGAAAUGCGAAAAGUAAUGUGAAUUGCAGAAUUCCGCGAAUCAUCAAAUCUUUGAACGCACAUUGCGCCCUUUGGUAUUCCGAAGGGCAUGCCUGUUCGAGCGUCAUUGCACCCCUCAAGCACUGCUUGGUAUUGGGCCUCGCCCCCGCGGCGGGCCCGGAUUCCAGUGGCGGUCCAGCGAGACUUUAAGCGUAGCAAGAUUAUCACAUCCCGCUUAGCAAGCCUUCCCGCUGCGUGCCGGCCAGACAACCCUAUACAAUCUCAAUGAUUGACCUCGGAUCAGGUAGGGAUACCCGCUGAACUUAAGCAUAUCAAUAAGCGGAGGAA
rnacentral:sRNA from 1 species